CAGAAAAUAGUUUAGCUUAGAAUUCUGGCUUUGGGAGCCAGGGGUGGGAGUUAAAAUCUCUCUUUUCUGG
rnacentral:tRNA from 1 species